GAAACAUAAGAAUCCGUCUCUUAAUUUUCAACUAAAAAAAUUAAGAAACGGUUCUUAAAUAAGAGAUUUAAGAAUCGGUUCUUAGCUUUUUUAAUUAAAAGUUAAGAAACAGAUUUUUAAAUUUC
rfam:Brassica napus, WGS project CCCW01000000 data, contig: 22390